AUACCUUAAAAAUUUUUAGCUAUAUAUAAAAAGAAUAUAAGUGAUAUUCAGGAGAAAGGAAUAAUUUGAGUCAUUUCUUCAAAAGAACAUAAAGGUGAUUGAAAUGUGAAUCAUGAGAACUGACCAGCAGAUGAUUUUCAGAGGAAAAAGACUAAAAAGCAUAAAUGUUCUUUUCACAUGUGUGGAAAGGAAACUAGGCUAACAGUUGGUGGGGGAAGGGGCAACUGGGAGUGGCAGUUGGGUCUUGUGACUAGCACUAAAGUCAUUAUGAUGAUCUAAGAGAAUUUGUUUUUAUUGUUUUCAGAAAAUUUCCUAUCAUCUCAGAGCAAUUGAUGGGGCAAAGAGAAUAUUUGUGCUAACAAUUCUAUGAAGGAAAAUAAAAUGGAAAAUGAAGAGAAUAGAAAGAGAAGAAAAGGAAGGAGAAAAUUAAUAUUUCAAGAACAAAAAAUAUCUCCCUUCAUUUAUCAAUAAUAUUAUUUUUGGAAGAAAAAUAUAGAGGGAUUUCUUUCAGGGACAUGGCAAGAAUCUGGAACCAGGUAUCUUCAUUCUUGAAACUGCAAAUCAGAAAAUGACCAGGAUCUCUCUUCCCCUCAAGCACUCACAAAUUCCACCUCUCAUUCAUUGAGUAAUUGAAUAAUCAAUCUCUACUGCUGAAGGGAAUCUUAUGAGACUUGCUGGGAACUACAAAUACAAAGCGUUGGCAUCACCCACUACCUGGACCACUUUAUUGAGAUCUGACAUGAUGAAGAAACUGAUGCCUACAAGAAGGGGUAGUGACCUGCCCAAGGUCAUACAGUGGCUGAGAUUUGAAACCAGGGCCUCUAAGUCCAAACUGCUCUCUCUACUAUACCUCUCUGCCUCCAGUUUAUCACUUCUCACUGGCUGAAGAAGUUUAUAUUGACUUUACCAUAUUGUUCUACUGGGUUUGUAGAGUUGCAAGUCUGAAAAGUAAUAUUAAAAAAAUCAAGAUAAC
rnacentral:lncRNA from 1 species